AUAGUGUUUGUGCAGGCUCUUUGUGCCUGAGUCCUAGCGUCCUCAGAUGAAUUGGCUUUGCUUUCUAGCCCUCAAGCAGCCGAAAUCUCACCAAACAUGCGGAUUAUACUUUACUUUCUCCCAUAGAACACUGCCAAAGUCAAGCGUUCCCGUAGAGUGCUCUGCGCACAGAAAGCGUCUGGACUACAUGUCCCAGCAUUCUCUGUAAGGCUCUUUCCCCACCAGCCCAAGAUUUUCCUUUCACUAAACAGGUGAACGCGGGGCUUCGUGGGCACAUCUGUCAUUUCAGUACUCCGGAGGAUGAGGCAAGAGUCCUGCGUGGGUUACUGUCUUAGUUACUGUUCUGUUGCUGUGAAGAGGCACCACGACCAAGGUUUUCUUGCCAGUGUGAACUGUAUGAUGUCAGGCGGGUUGAUGACUUCAUCAAGAAGCCUUUCCACGCCGGGCGGUAGUGGUGCACGCCUUUAAUCCCAGCACUCGGGAGGCAGAGCCAGGUGGAUCAUUGUGAGUUCGAGGCCAGCCUGGACUACCGAGAACCCUGGGAAAAGGCGGGAGCUGGCUCACACAGAUGGCGCAAGAACUUGGGAUGCGGAUGCAGAGGAGAUAAGGGAGAAUAGCACAGUGGAAGCAGUUGGGCAUGCCUGGUUAUGAAUUAUGAAAAGGUUAGGCUGUAGAUGUCAUUCUAAACGGUCUUAUUAAAUAAGAAACACAGAGCCAAAUGAAGAGUUAAAAGCCUAGAGAUCGAGCAGUAGUCAAGAGCUAAGACCACUUUAUCUUAACCACUCGCUGCUGUCCUUCCCCUGAGAGAGAGACCUUCUUCCUGUGUCCUGUCUUUUUAUUGACUUUCUGUUCUG